rnacentral:rRNA from 1 species
GGCGGCGUGCCUAACACAUGCAAGUCGAGCGAGGAGAUUCCUUCGGGAUGAUCCUAGCGGCGGACGGGUGAGUAACACGUGGGCAACCUGCCUCAUAGAGAGGAAUAGCCUUCCGAAAGGGAGAUUAAUACCUCAUAACAUUGCAGUUUCGCAUGGAACAGCAAUUAAAGGAGUAAUCCGCUAUGAGAUGGGCCCGCGGCGCAUUAGCUAGUUGGUGAGGUAACGGCUCACCAAGGCGACGAUGCGUAGCCGACCUGAGAGGGUGAUCGGCCACAUUGGGACUGAGACACGGCCCAGACUCCUACGGGAGGCAGCAGUGGGGAAUAUUGCACAAUGGGGGAAACCCUGAUGCCAGCAACGCCGCGUGAGUGAUGACGGCCUUCGGGUUGUAAAGCUCUGUCUUCAGGGACGAUAAUGACGGUACCUGAGGAGGAAGCCACGGCUAACUACGUGCCAGCCGCCGC